GGCCUCCUGCCUCAACAUAGCAUGGGUUAUGUUCUUACUCUGUACAGAAAGAGGAGGCAAAGUAAACCUACCCCAUACACACCGCAGCCCAGGCCCUGGGCCCUGUCUGUAUUGUGAACGGGGAGAUGUGG
rnacentral:snoRNA from 1 species